rnacentral:rRNA from 1 species
GACGAACUGUCCUAACGUUGUUCGGAAUCACUGGGCUUAAAGAGCUCGUAGGUGGUUUGUCGCGUUGUUCGUGAAAACUCACAGCUUAACUGUGGGCGUGCGGGCGAUACGGGCAGACUCGAGUACUGCAGGGGAGACUGGAAUUCCUGGUGUAGCGGUGGAAUGCGCAGAUAUCAGGAGGAACACCGGUGGCGAAGGCGGGUCUCUGGGCAGUAACUGACGCUGAGGAGCGAAAGCGUGGGGAGCGAACAGG